rnacentral:rRNA from 1 species
CCUACGGGAGGCAGCAGUGAGGAAUAUUGGUCAAUGGACGAGAGUCUGAACCAGCCAAGUAGCGUGAAGGAUGACUGCCCUAUGGGUUGUAAACUUCUUUUAUAUAGGAAUAAAAUGUUCCACGUGUGCCUUUUUGUAUGUACCUUAUGAAUAAGGAUCGGCUAACUCCGUGCCAGCAGCCGCGGUAAUACGGAGGAUCCGAGCGUUAUCCGGAUUUAUUGGGUUUAAAGGGAGCGUAGGUGGGUUGUUAAGUCAGUUGUGAAAGUUUGCGGCUCAACCGUAAAAUUGCAGUUGAUACUGGCAGUCUUGAGUACAGUUGAGGUAGGCGGAAUUCGUGGUGUAGCGGUGAAAUGCUUAGAUAUCACGAAGAACCCCGAUUGCGAAGGCAGCUUACUAAACUGUGACUGACAUUGAGGCUCGAAAGUGUGGGUAUCAAACAGGAUUAGAUACCCGGGUAGUC